rnacentral:rRNA from 1 species
UACGUAGGGUGCGAGCGUUAAUCGGAAUUACUGGGCGUAAAGCGUGCGCAGGCGGUUUUGUAAGCCAGGUGUGAAAGCCCCGGGCUUAACCUGGGAAUGGCAUUUGGGACUGCAAGGCUUGAGUGCGGCAGAGGAGACUGGAAUUCCUGGUGUAGCAGUGAAAUGCGUAGAUAUCAGGAGGAAUACCGAUGGCGAAGGCAGGUCUCUGGGCUGAUACUGACGCUCAUGCACGAAAGCGUGGGGAGCAAACAGG